rnacentral:rRNA from 1 species
UACGGAGGAUCCGAGCGUUAUCCGGAUUUACUGGGUUUAAAGGGUGCGUAGGCGGCCCUGCCAGUCAGCGGUGAAAUGUGGCGGCUCAACCGUUUCGCUGCCGCUGAAACUGCGGGGCUUGGAUACGGUCGAGGCGGGUGGAAUUCGUGGUGUAGCGGUGAAAUGCAUAGAUAUCACGAGGAACGCCGAUAGCGAAGGCAGCUCGCCGGGCCGCGAUCGACGCUGAGGCACGAAAGCGUGGGGAUCGAACAGG